rnacentral:rRNA from 1 species
AGAACGAACGCUGGCGGCAUGCCUAAUACAUGCAAGUCGAACGAACACUUCGGUGUUAGUGGCGCACGGGUGCGUAACGCGUGGGAAUCUGCCCUUGGGUUCGGAAUAACAGUUGGAAACGACUGCUAAUACCGGAUGAUAUCGAAAGAUCAAAGAUUUAUCGCCCAGGGAUGAGCCCGCGUAGGAUUAGCUAGUUGGUGAGGUAAAGGCUCACCAAGGCGACGAUCCUUAGCUGGUCUGAGAGGAUGAUCAGCCACACUGGGACUGAGACACGGCCCAGACUCCUACGGGAGGCAGCAGUAGGGGAAUAUUGGGACAAGUGGGCGCAAGCCUGAACCAGCCAUGCCGCGUGCAGGAAGACGGCCCUA